rnacentral:rRNA from 1 species
AUCAACGCUGGCGGCGUGCCUAACACAUGCAAGUCGAACGCGAAAGCCCCGCAAGGGGCAAGUAGAGUGGCAAACGGGUGAGUAACACGUGGGUGACCUGCCUUCGAGCGGGGGAUAACGUCCCGAAAGGGACGCUAAUACCGCAUAACAUCCUGCCUUUGAAGAGGUGGAGAUCAAAGCUGGGGAUCGCAAGACCCGGCACUUGAAGAGGGGCCCGCGCCUGAUUAGCUAGUUGGUGGGGUAAUGGCCUACCAAGGCAACGAUCAGUAUCCGGCCUGAGAGGGGCNGGACGGAC